UACGUAGGGGGCAAGCGUUAUCCGGAUUCAUUGGGCGUAAAGCGCGCGUAGGCGGCUUGUUAUGUCAGAUGUGAAAACCGGGGGCUCAACCCGCGGCCUGCAUCUGAAACUGGCAGGCUUGAGUCUGGUAGAGGAAAGUGGAACUCCCAGUGUAGCGGUGAAAUGCGCAGAUAUUGGGAAGAACACCAGUGGCGAAGGCGGCUUUCUGGGCCACGACUGACGCUGAGGCGCGAAAGCUAGGGGAGCGAACAGG
rnacentral:rRNA from 1 species